UCAAGAAACUUCCACAAUGGGCGAAAGCCUGAUGGAGCGACGUCGCGUGAUGGACGAAGUGCUUCGGCACGUAAACAUCUUUUAUGUGGGAUGAAAUUAUUGACAGUACCACAUGAAUAAGGGGCUCCUAACUCUGUGCCAGCAGGAGCGGUAAUACAGAGGCCCCAAGCGUUAUCCGGAAUCACUGGGCGUAAAGGGUGUCGAGGCGGUUGUAUUAGUCGUUCGUAAAAUCUACGAGCUUAACUUGUAGGCGGCGAACGAAACGGUACGACUUGAGGUUUGGAGAGGUGCGUGGAACUCACGGUGUAGGGGUGAAAUCCGUUGAUAUCGUGGGGAACACCAAAGGCGAAGGCAGCGCACUGGCCAAAAUCUGACGCUCACACACGAAAGCUAGGGUAGCGAAGAGGAUUAGAUACCCUCGUAGUCCCUGAGCGGGC
rnacentral:rRNA from 1 species